CAGAAGCAGCCUCCUGGAUUUCCCCCCCUGCCUACAACAAAAACGAAGGGGGUAUAUUUAAAAGCGUUCUAAUUCCGCGGCUAGAUCAGCCGUCGAUCCCAGCACUUUCUCGCCCAAAGUGGGCAACAAAGGUGCCCUCGAAUACCGUCCCCCCAAAAAUCAAGGCAGCGAGGCCUCUUAUUCAGACGGGUAGACUGCCCCUGUCCCCGGAGUCGCACUGAGCCGUCGUGGCUAGUAGCCUCGACCUCUACCGGCGACUGUGUCUCCGUGGGGCGCCCGUGUCGAGCCGUCUUGAACCGGUGCCCCAGUUCUGGAAGAGAACCGUGCCCCCAUUUCAAACCGGCGCCCUUGAGUGAUGGUGGUGUGCGGAAAAGGCGCUCUCCCGGCCGCGGCCGCUCUUUGCUCCAGGUGACCCCGAGUUGUCCUUUCCUCGCUGCUGCUACACGUGUGUUUGUGUGUGCGCGCGCGUGUCCUUGCGCUGUGCGCCCCGAUCUGCUGCUCCCCCCGCAACCCAACCCACCGCAACAGGCAGCUCUUGGUGGAAAUAGACGGGGGGGGGGAGAAGGGAGGGGGUCAGAUUUAAAACACGGAGGACGCUGGAAACGAAGAGAAGGCAGCACGAGAGAGGAAGGGAGACGAACGAGGAGGAUUUGGGGGGAAUGGACGGGAGGGGGAGAGAACGAGGCCCGGUCUCCGAGAAGAUUGCGGGGAGCCCGGACCCGCCGACGCCGUCGAGGCGGGUUGGAGAGGGGGCCCAUUGGGCAGCCCUGAACAGCGCCCCAGAGGAGAGAAAGGGGGAUGGGACGGCCUCCGGGCGCCCCUCGAUCCUUCCUCGCGGGAAAUCCGACGGCCCUUCGCUGCAGAAAGUCCGUUUUGCGUAAGGUGGGGAGACGGACGCGCGAAGGAAGCCAUCUUGCCUCGCCCUGGGCUCCCUCGGAAGGAUCUCGGGGGUCUCCUUUGCUCGCUAGAGGAGUCUCGGGGCGCGCGAGGUGGUGGUCGCUUUUUGGGCUGGUGGGGGUUGAAUACAGGGGCCUCUAUUAGAAGCCUUCCGGGGGGGAUGCAAAAAGCCAAAAGUUUGUGUGCUGGGAAAAGCCAGAGCAGCGCGUCUCCUUUUAUUUUCCUGCCCAGGCAAAUGCGCCAUGGCCAGGUCGCCUUUGCGUCUUGAGAAUCCUUUAUAUAUAUAUGCGUCUUUUUAGAAACGAAGGAGUCGAGGGGUUGUUCAUGUUCCUUGCAAAUUUCCGCAGGUUAACUUGAAGCAAGAUCCCGGAUCAUCUGCCCCGAGGACCUUACAAUCUGAACAAUCGCCAUGAAAGAGGAGUGUAAAAAGACGGGGUGACUUUUUUGGGGGGUCUGCUUUCAGCGCCUUUGUACCUUUUAGCUUGUGGCGGCUACAAGGUGCAACGAGAAGCUGUUCAUUUUUGGGGUGCCGGCUUUGGAUGUGGGGAGCCAGGCGUUGAACCUCUUCCCGGGCAGCCGCGGCGCGCUCCCCGGGCAAUGCUGCGCUCUCUCGCCCCCGCCAUUUCUGCCGCUUUAACGUGAAGCGGG